CGCGUAGGCGGGUGGUCAAGUCAGGGGUGAAAUCCUCCAGCUCAACUGGAGAACAGCCUCUGAUACUGGUCAUCUGGAGGAAGGUAGGGGCAUGUGGAACUUCCGGUGGAGCGGUGAAAUGCGUAGAUAUCGGAAGGAACGCCGGUGGCGAAAGCGACGUGCUGGACCUUUUCUGACGCUGAGGCGCGAAAGCCAGGGAGCAAACG
rnacentral:rRNA from 1 species